ensembl:lncRNA
AAAAUUCAUUGAAAUUGCAGAAAUUACAAUCAAAAUUGUCAUCUUGUUACUAACUGAUCUGCCGACAAACGAAUUACAUGCCCAUGACUUUGACUACACGUUACUCUUUUUCCCUUGGAAAUGUGCACUGAAAUUAUUAUGGAGUGCUGUCUUACAUGGCAGAUGCUGUUUUUAAGCAACACAUGGAAUACAGGAAAUGUUUGUAAGGGAAAAAUUCUUCAGAUUAAUGUUAAUAUUAAAACUGUAGGUGUGAGGGAAGUUAUGACAGUAUGCUUAACAUUGCUCAGGUAAGCAAAUAAGGAGAAGGGAAAAGGAAUCUGAGGGGUAAGAGAACUCUAAGAAAACUCUUGUUCUACCAGAAGAAAUACAGAGGUUGCUUUUAAGUUUGCAGUCAGUCGUGGUUGUUACUUAGUGGUCACUUAAUCAGACUGGCAUAAUCUCCUUUAAGGAAUUUGCAAUAUUGCUGUCCAGUUUUUGUUGAGCUUUGAUGUUAAUUUUGUUACGUUUAAACUCUUGCCCAUGUAUCACACAGCUCUGAGCCUUGGCAUGAAAAUGCAGCGUUGCAAACCUUCGGGGCGCUGCUUUUUCAUAACUUCUGGUUCAGGAAGCUUGAUUUCAAUACACAGUUUGUCCAAGAAACGAUACAGCAAAUGUCCCUCCUCUUGGCACAUCCUCUGGUCCUGGGAUCUCUGUGGCUGCAGCAGAGUGGCUCUGCUUGGGAGCUAGAAGGGAGAGCAGGACCGCUGAGUUGUGCAUUUCAUUUCCUCCUGGUGACCGGGCGCUGGGUUCAGCCGUGUGGGUGGGACGUGGAGGAGCUGUAACCCAACCCUGCCAGCGUGAAGGAUUCUCUGCAGUGCUUUUUUCUCCUGUGAAGUCAAGACGCCCAACCACUGACUUACGACCUCAAUCACUGUGUAUAAUUCCCUUAUGGAAUCGCUGCCUCUGACACAGCCUAUAAGGGAGGAUAUAUGAAGAAGAUACAGAAUACACAGGGAACAGACAGAAGGGCAGGCGGAUCUCUAACAACAAUUUGUUAACAGCUCAGUUUAAUCAGAUAUUUCCCUCAGUGGAAUGGGGCUCUCACGGACUGCAGCAGUUGGAGUGAAAUGCAAUACUGCAUCCCGCUGAAGUACUCUGUGACCA